UUUGCCCUACGGGAGGCAGCAGUGGGGAAUAUUGCACAAUGGGGGAAACCCUGAUGCAGCGACGCCGCGUGAGUGAAGAAGUAUCUCGGUAUGUAAAGCUCUAUCAGCAGGGAAGAAAAUGACGGUACCUGACUAAGAAGCCCCGGCUAACUACGUGCCAGCAGCCGCGGUAAUACGUAGGGGGCAAGCGUUAUCCGGAUUUACUGGGUGUAAAGGGAGCGUAGACGGCGCUGCAAGUCCGGAGUGAAAGCCCAUGGCUUAACCAUGGUACUGCUCUGGAAACUGUGGAGCUUGAGUGCGGGAGG
rnacentral:rRNA from 1 species